CUUAAAUUUUUUUUGGACCACCCUAAUGUACUUACAUAGUAGUUGUGGCUGUACUGCAUUUUGUGCAUUACAGCUGCUAUAUUUGUCUUAAUUUAUGUGGCAUUACUUUUUCGUUUUUAUUGCUGUUGUGUGCGUAGCUGAGCGCCAGAUAAAAUGUUUUGAAGACUUUGUAUUUUUUAUUUACUGCAGAUUCUGUUAAUAAGUUCUUAUGCUGUUCCUAACUAAUUUAUUUAUAUAUUCACGCUGGCACAGUUCGUCAUUCCUUCUGCCUCAGUGUACCCGUUGAUAACCAUUUUGAAGUGAAACUUCUUUGCGCUCGGUUGGGUGUAAAACCAAACAUCGAUGUAAUGAAAAAGCGGUACGGCUCUAAUUGGAAAGAACCGACAGAAGAAGAGAGGAGAUAGCGAGGGUGGUUGGGCUCGAUUGAGAUUAAGAUUAAGAUUUUGAUUAAGGAUAAGAUUUAAAAGUUCGUUGCCGUUUUUGGGUUUUUCUUAUCAAAUCUAGCAACUACUUAUACUGAUGAAGUCCUGCCUACCACCAAAAGCUAUAGCUUUGCAACGAAAAAGAGUAGCGAAAUUUCUCAUCGAAGCCACUGAGAUAUGAACCAGCGACUCCUGAUUACAAAGCUCGUCCUUAAGAAAGCUUAUGGCUAAAAGACAAACAGCUAGCAGUCUUUCAAUUUGUCUUUCGAAAGACAGUACAGAGCUUUCAAGGCAGUUGUCGGAAUUGGCAAAUUUCUUACGAAAGACUUUUGACUUUCCAAGGACUGCCGCAAUCCUUAAAUUGAGACUGUAUUUCGCUCUACGCCGCGAGAGAUUUCCAAAAUCGAUAACUUCAUAUUGCAAUGAGUCAAACAAUGAAUAACAUUUUGUACCAAAAUAAAUCACAAAAAAAAAUUCGGUAAAAACAUUAUGAACAUCAAACAAAAAGUGCAUUAACAACUGAUUAACAAAUUAUCUAUAAUGAAAACGGAUCGAAACAUAUGUAAACUAUAAAGUUGAUACCAAAAAGUAGCAAUCAGCGAAAAAUAUAUAUCAGAGUUAAUGACAACAUGAAAUCAAGCAAAACUUCGCACAUCUUUGCCAAACAAAAAAAUAAAAACAAAAAAAAAUUGAAACACGAACAAUCAAAAAAAGAAAACAAUGAAAUAAUUAAAUUAAGUCUAAUUUAUUAUAAUUAAAAAUCGAAAAGUGGUAACAACAAAGCAGCCGAUAAAAGGCAUACACUCAUAAGUUAUAAACAUAAAUUUCGGUAUGGACAUUUGAGGUGAAUACAUUUUCGAUUCGCUUCGAUGCGCUACAUCAAUCGAACUUACUCGGAAGCUGUAUUCGCCUCUGCAUGCAUAUAUACAUACAUACAUGCACAAAUGCUAAUUUGCAUACAUACCUACAACAUAUGUAUGUGCACAGGUAACUACAUAAAAUAGCUACAUAUAUAUAUAGGUUGGUAGCUAGAUAAAUGUGCGUAAAUGUUUUUUGUUUUUUUUUUUUGAGUGUGAAUAUACAUUUUAAACUACAUGCAUGGACACAAAUAUUUGAUGUGAUCUGAACUGAUUUCUGGCGAUUUGAUUUGAACACAAAA